CACGAUGCUACGUGGUUGCCUAGCUACCAUAAUUUUGUCUUCAUCUUUUUUGACUUCUUGCAUCUAAAAGCAUGAGAUUGAAGCAAGCUUCUCCAUUUUUCUAAACACUAGAGAUAUGGGUACAACCUUAUCUUCAUGCUAGGAUAGUGAUAUAAAAUGGGAGAGAAGAAGGGUAGAGAAAACUACAGGAAAAGAUAGGAGAGGGACAUUUACAUAAAAGGAGAGGUUGAGGAGUUAGGCAUAGAUCAACGGAGACAUGGCGGUGGGUUUUUUUUGUUUUAUUGAACCGGUAGGGGAGGGAGAGGGAUCGGCGUACGAAGAGUAAGAAAAAAGAUACGAAGAAAUGAAGACCUACCUACUGUGCAAAGUUUUGAUAAAGACCUCUUAACCAGAACUUUCAUGGAUUAUGACUCCAUAAAUCGUGCUAUAAUUAAUAGUAUAUUAGAUAUGUCUUGCUAGUGCUGUGCUAUUAUUGUACAUAUUUUACAUCUAUAAAAUAUGUAAGCACCAAAUUCAUUGUCUCUUUGACAUCUAUAAAUUUCAAUGUCAUUGGAUAUGAAGCUUUUAAAUCUUAAUGAUGAUAAUCAUGUGUCUAAUGUUUAUUACUUGGUAAUUUGAUAAUUUGACAUUGAUGUAGAAGUCUCAAAUUGGCAAAAAAAUUAGAACUUCACAUUUCAUGAGAGCAUCCAUCUAUUAGAAUAAAAGGAAUAGUCUAAAGAAAAUUAAAAAUAAAUAGAUUAGUAUUAAAAAUAAUCUUAUUGUAUAAAUGCUUUACAAAAUUGAUGAAUUUAGCUUGAUGUUUCAAGUUCAGUUUCAUUUUUAGCUUCAAUUUCAGGUUUUUUAAGACCUUGAACAACAUUAAAUCCAAGUUCAUUUUCAAGUACAAACACUUUUUGGAGUUUUUAUACCUUUUGAGUGGUGUUGAUUUUGUUUUCCUUCACCUUUAGAUUUUUCUAUUUUGAAUGGAGAAACUAAUCAAUAUUUAUUUCAGCUUUAAAACAAAGACCAACAUUAAGUGUUUCAAAAAUAACUUGCCUUCUUCACAUAAUCUUUUAUGGUUGAGGUGACUAUUUCUUGGAUCAGAAAAUUAGUAACACGAUAUUCUCCAAUAAUAUGUAAGAGAAAAUCUCUUAGAACUUAUUGAAAUUACAAGUCACACAUCUUAAGAUAGAUGAGAAAAGUGGAGUGUUUUGGAAUAUAACAUAGUAAAAAAAUUGAAAAUAUAACACAAUCCAUAAAAUAUUUAGAAAAAUAUCAUAGUUUAGCGAGUUGCAUAUGUCAUCUACAACUCAUGAGUAGUAUGUGUCACAUGCGACUCUCUUGAAUUAUUAAAUAGGUUAGCAUAAAUUAUAAUAAGAAAAGAUGAGAGAAAAAAACAGGAAAAAAAAGACUCAAGAGGCACACUAAAGCUCCAAAAACGAUGCACUCAGUACCAUUGAAAGGAUCUUAAUAAGAUUAAUCUAACAACACCAAGAAAGAUUAUCAACAAUAACUGAUGUGGUCUACACGAGAUGUUAGAAAGUGGUGGGUGGCUUACUUACCUUUGGAUGACUAGUGUGGAUCACUCUAGUCAUCGUUGAUGACCUUUAUUGUUACCUUUGUAUUUAUCUCAUUGAGAUCUUUUCGGUAAUACUGGUGGUGUCAUCAUUAAAUCUUUCUGAUGGUACCAAUGGUGUUGUUAUUAGAGCUUUGGUGUGCCUUAUGAAUUAUUUUUUUCUUUUGUUUCUUCUCUCUUCAUUGUAAUACAUAAAGAGAAAGGAGAGAGAAAAGGAAAAAAAAAAGAUCCUAUAAACACUAAAAUUCCGAUGAUGACAAAAACAAUAUCAUCGGAAAGAUCUUGACAAUAAGAGUCUAACAACACCAAGAAAGGUCAUUAACGAUGAUCGAAGUGGGUCAUACAAGCCGUCCAAAGAUGGAUGUUGGCUAACUCACCUUUGUGCGGCUCGUGUAGCCCACUCCGGUUAUUGUUAGUGACCUUUCUUGGUGUUGCUGGACUCUUUUUAUCAAGAUCUUUUUGAUGGUAUUGUUUCUUGAUGUCAUUGAAUUCAUCUCGUUAAGAUCUUUUUGAUAAUAUCGGUGAUGUCGUCGUUGGAGUUUUGGUAUACCUCAUAGGUCUCUAUCUUUUUCUUUGUUUCUUUUUUUUCUCUUCUCUCUACUCAUUUUAAUUUGUUCUAGUUCAUUUAAUAAUUUAAGAGAGUCAUAUGUGACUUACGUGAUUCGCUAAAUUGUGUUAUUUUUCCAAUUAAGUUUGGAAUUGUGUUAUUUCUCUAAUUUUUUUCUAUGCUAAAUUCCAAAAACAAAUACUCAAAAAAAAUUGUAUAACAUAAUGCAUGUUAUGCAACUUGCAUUUCCUAGAUGCACACUUAUUUAGGAAAAAGAAAAAAGAGAACAGAUCUAUGUAUCUUAAUGUUUUUUCUACAAGUGUUGCUAAGAUACAUAGCUCUUGAUUUGAUUUGAUCAACCACUGAACUUUCUUUCCUUGUCUAUUUAUUAUAUAUUCUAGGCUUUGGAUCUCUUUGAAUCAGUACUGAGUGCUUCUCCAAUGGAAAAAGCCAUUUUAAAUAGUAUAAUUUAUUUUCUCUCUCUCUUGUUAUACUCCAAUGAAAAAAAGACAUUUUAACAAGCCAUUUGUUAAUCAUUUAAUAGUGGUCUGAGGAUUCUUAACAUGAUUAAGUUUUCAAUUAAUCAAGAUAAUUUUUUUUUCAAAUCUCAAUUUUAAUGUUCAUUUUUUUAUUUAUAAAUGUUGCGCAUGAAAGCUUAGAUUAUAGACAUAGUGAAUUUUAAAAAAAUAAUUUACAUUAAAAUAGUAUGCUAGAAAAGGAGUAUUAUAGAUGGAUUACCAUGAAAGAGUGUACCAAUUAUCCAUCCGCUUGUAAAAUAUUUUUUAUAUUUUAUAUGUGGAUUUUAAAAUUCUAAUUUCCAAGUAAAUUGUUUUUCAUCACCCUUAA